rnacentral:lncRNA from 1 species
AAAAUUUUUAAAGUUUAAUAAUAAUAAAAUAGUUAUAAAAAACAAUAAUACAAUUAGAGCAAUAAAGUUUAGAGUUAGGACAAUUACAAGACAAUAAAAAGCAAAGAAUUACGGAUGUCCAGAUGCUCUUGGACACUCAGUCAUGAAAAGCAUCCCUUGUGAACAAAGGAAUCACCCUUAAACCAAUACAUUUGUUGCAUAUUCAUACAUCCUUUAUGGUUAUGCAUAUGUUCUAUUCUAAACAAGAACUCUGUCUGUUGUAUGUCAACUGUUUCCUUUAAUCCCCUGGCAUCUUUGAGUCUGAGCAAGGCCUGAAGAAAUUCGCUUCUUCUGAUAAGAAGCCAUAAAUUCCUUUUCUUUGGAAGAUUUAGGUGUUCCUCGAAGUGAGUAUCUCAUGCUUAAAAAAAAAAAAACUUCCCCCACAUACACAGUCUCUAUUUUAACAUUAUGUUGGAACCUAAAACUAUAUUUAACACACUAUUUAAGAGAAUUAAUACAGCAUAACUUUCUAACAUUACACAUAUAAUAUUCAUUGUAACAUUUGUGAAAAGCCAAUCAUAAAAUAUGCAUUUUUCACAAGCAGGUCAGGUACUGUAAAAGUUGCCCCAUGACCAAAGAAUCCAAAAUUUUGCUGAUGACACCAACCCUUGAGCCACUCGUUGAUAAUGUGAGCUCUCCUACUGCUUUCACCGUAUUUCUCAGACUCCAAAGGGACUGAGGAAAAGACUGUCUGUGCCCCUGUCCUAUUGACCACCUGACCCAAUGCCCUAAAGUCCCUUUUAAGUGCCCUGACACUCCUCUUUUCAGUCUCAUCACUGCCAGCCGGGGGUAUCAGCAGUGGGCAACAAUCAGAGGGCUGAAUCAGCCCAGGCAGUCUCUCAGGGAUAUCCCGUACCCGGGCCCAGGGAGGCAGCAGACUUCCCUGUGAGGCGGCUCUGGUCGAUAUACGGGGCCCUCUGCUCCCCUCAGAAGGGAGUCACCCACUACCAUCACCUUUCUUUUCUUUUUAGUGUCAGAGGCAGCGAUCUGUCUGACAGAUGAAUCGUUAUUGGGAGGCUCACUGAGCAGAUCAUUUUCUUCUAUGUCCUCUGGCUGACCCUCUGGAUCCAGGGGCUCACACCUAUUCUGAAGUGGCACCUGGCUAGGGGAUGGGGGUCGGGAGGAAUUUUUAUCAUAACCUCCCUGAGCAGGGGCCCAUUUCCACUCCCCUUCAUCUGCCAGGUGCCCCUCUAUUGCCUGACAGUGGGAAGGCUGGGCGUCCUCUGACUCUUGCUGGGCCUCUCUCAAGCAUGGAAGAGCAGAACUCCAGCAGUCUAUUUCCCUUUCACUGACCCUGAUUCCCUCUCUAAGCUCGCCAGCAGGGAAAGGAGAUCAUUCACUGUUCACACCGACGGCAGUUCCCUCCCCAACGGCCCCUGAAACCGCUCAGUGGCUCAAACAGUCCGCACAGGAGUGGGUCUGACAGGACAGAUGUGUCCUUUCUGGAGGGCUCUACCUGGCUACAUACACUUGCACUAAGUGGAGUUUUUGACUGUGUAAAAACCAUUACUAACAAAAGCACAGAAACCAACCAAGCAGCAGCAACAACAGACGCAGACCCUCACUGCAGGAGGAGCUGCAGCCCUGCCCGCUCGCCCUCUCUUCAUCACCCCGCCCUGCCUGCCUAGCAAGAACUCUUGAUAUUCCAUGAUCCUAUGGUUCCAGGAACAAUGCAAUGCCAGAGGGAAAGCACCGCAUUCUUAUUAGCUUAAGUCUAAAUACAAUCAAAUUAAAUCAAAUAAAUAUUCAGAAUUGUGAGACUGGUCCUGGGUCCAGUUGGUGAUUCCAGGCUGCAGCUCAGCAGCUGCCGCUGCCUCCAAUAAAUGUGCAGGGAUUGCAAUCACUUGGUGUUUAAUUAACCACAAUCAGUGUCUCAUUAGCUCCAAGCACAAUUCCUGCUAUGGAGCCUUCUUCUGAUCCCUUCCCAGAGGCUUUGUUUCAUUUGGGAAUGGGAGUGGGACAGAUGAAUUGUGCUGGGAGCAUCCCUGGCAAUGCUCAGAUGCCAGGACCCCACAGAUGUUGUGGCAUCAGCACCGGGGACAGUUUGGGCACUUGCCCAGAGCAGACUUUGUGUGCAAUCGGUGGAAACAUCUCAACUGUGCUGAGAGUCCCCCCCCUUUGUUUCUCGAGCAGCUGGGGGGUGGUUUGGGGAUUUUUUUUUUGUUCCUGCUGUUCUGGUAUGGUUGUUCUAAAUCCUCCCUUCUUACAAAGGCCAAGACAAGAGGAUUUGUAUUAAACAAUGCUCUGGUAACGGUGUUUCCUUUGAUAACAACUUGGUGUCAGUUCAGUGACAGCAUCCACAGCUUUCCUUUUGUUUUUCUUUACAGCUCCAUCAGAAAAAUCACUUUGUGUUUGCAAUUCACUCAUUUGCUCUCCUUUCUU